rnacentral:misc_RNA from 1 species
GAGACUUGGGCAAUGUGACUGCUGAUCAGCAGUCACAUUGCCCAAGUCUCUU